UGGGCCGUCGCCAAGCGGUAAGGCACCGGGUUUUGAUCCCGGCAUUCCCAGGUUCGAAUCCUGGCGGCCCAG
rnacentral:tRNA from 2 species